GUGUCGAUAAGAAAAUAAUUAUAAAAUAUUAAUUAUUUUAUAAAAUAUUUCUUCAUUAAUUUUUCUGAGGAUAAGCUCGGAAAAGAGUUAAGAUAUUUUACUGAUUUAGGUUGUUAUGUAGGCUUAAAAUUGGCCAUCAUAAGAGUUUGUUAUAAAACAAUAAUCCUAAUAUUUAAAAUAAAUAUAUUUUAUUCUAAUUUUUUACAGAAAUAAGAACUAUAAUUAAUAAAUGUUUUGUGCCUAUGCUAGGAUGAGUAUUAAAAUUUUGUAUAUAUUAAGAAAGUUUUAUAUAUUUUUCUUCAAAAAAGAUAUUAAUCAAACCAAACUGGUUUGAAGGAACUCGGCAAAUUUAAUGCUUUCGCCUGUUUAUCAAAAACAUGGCUCUUUGCAUUUAUCUUAUAAAGAGUCAGGCCUGCCCAGUGAAUAAUAUUUAACGGCCGCGGUACUCUGACCGUGCAAAGGUAGCAUAAUCAUUUGCCUUAUAAUUGAAGGCUAGUAUGAAUGGUUUAACGAAAGCAAUACUGUCUCCUUUCUACUUUCAAGAACUUAACCUUUAGGUGAAGAGGCCCAAAUUUAAUUGAAGGACAAGAAGACCCUGUCGAGCUUAAAAGAUAUUAUAGAAGUUUAUAUAUUUUUAGAUAAAAAGACUAUUGAGCUUUUUAGUUGGGGCGACUAAGGAACAAAAAAAGCUUCUUAUAAUAAAUGAACAACCUGGUUUUGAUCCGAUAAUAAUCGAUUAAAGGAAUUAGUUACCGCAGGGAUAACAGCAUAAUCUCUCUUGAGAGACCUAAUCGAAAGAGGGGGUUGUGACCUCGAUGUUGGACUAGAAUAUCCUAAAGAUGCAGAA
rnacentral:rRNA from 1 species